rnacentral:rRNA from 1 species
AUUGAACGCUGGCGGCAUGCCUUACACAUGCAAGUCGUACGGUAACGGGCCUUCGGGUGCCGACGAGUGGCGAACGGGUGAGUAAUGUAUCGGAACGUACCUUUCAGUGGGGGAUAACGUAGCGAAAGUUACGCUAAUACCGCAUAUUCUGUGAGCAGGAAAGCAGGGGAUCGCAAGACCUUGCGCUGAUUGAGCGGCCGAUAUCAGAUCAGCUAGUUGGUUGGGUAAUGGCUCACCAAGGCGACCAUCAGUAUCCGGCCUGAGAGGGCGGACGGACACGCGGGAGCUGCGACGCGGCCGAGAAUCCUACGGGAGGAAGGAGUGGGGAAUUGUUCGCAAUGGGCGCAAGCCUGACGACGCAACGCCGCGUGGAGGACGAAGAUCGUCAGGUCGUAAACUCCUGUCGAGCGGGAAGAACGCUUACCGGGUGAAUAUCCCGGGGAAUUGACGGUACCGCUAAAGGAAGCCCCGGCUAACUCCGUGCCAGCAGCCGCAGUAACAC